UAUGAACGCUGGCGGCGUGCCUAAUACAUGCAAGUCGAGCGAACAGACGAGGAGCUUGCUCCUCUGACGUUAGCGGCGGACGGGUGAGUAACACGUGGAUAACCUACCUAUAAGACUGGGAUAACUUCGGGAAACCGGAGCUAAUACCGGAUAAUAUAUUGAACCGCAUGGUUCAAUAGUGAAAGACGGUUUUGCUGUCACUUAUAGAUGGAUCCGCGCCGCAUUAGCUAGUUGGUAAGGUAACGGCUUACCAAGGCGACGAUGCGUAGCCGACCUGAGAGGGUGAUCGGCCACACUGGAACUGAGACACGGUCCAGACUCCUACGGGAGGCAGCAGUAGGGAAUCUUCCACAAUGGGCGAAAGCCUGACGGAGCAACGCCGCGUGAGUGAUGAAGGUCUUCGGAUCGUAAAACUCUGUUAUUAGGGAAGAACAAAUGUGUAAGUAACUAUGCACGUCUUGACGGUACCUAAUCAGAAAGCCACGGCUAACUACGUG
rnacentral:rRNA from 1 species